rnacentral:misc_RNA from 1 species
GAUUUUCCAUGCUCUAUCCUGGAUUGUGGACGAUACUCCCUCAGCAAAUGGAAUGGUAGUCUCUAGGUGGUGCAGCUUUGGCUCUUAUCAUACUUACUGAAAUUGAGGAAUUCUCCACCUUUCUCUGAAGACGACAUCUUUGGUCAAUGGGUUGCACUUCUAUCUUCAUACAUGUUUAUUAGUGAAGCUUUGAAAUUCUUUUAUGAAUUGAAGAUGGAAAUGUUUAAUUGUUUCACACCAUUUGACGAUCCUAACAGUUGUAACAGGCAAGAUAUAGUUUCUUAAAUUUUAUAAGGAUGCUUAUCUUGGAAAAGUUUGGUGAUAAGAUUAAUGCCAGAAGUAGAGAAAAAACUGGAGGAUGCUUGUAAGGGUAAUGCUUUGGGUUUAUGGAUAGAUGAGCUAAAAUUAGCUUGAGGGGGCUACUGGUAUGACAAGGGGAACCUUGGGCCUUUUAG